rnacentral:rRNA from 1 species
UACGAAGGGUGCAAACGUUGCUCGGAAUUAUUGGGCGUAAAGCGCACGUAGGCGGCUUUGCAAGUCCCAUGUGAAAUCCCACGGCUCAACCGUGGAAGUGCAUGGGAAACUGCAGAGCUUGAGUACUUAAGAGGAUCGCGGAAUUCCCGGUGUAGAGGUGAAAUUCGUAGAUAUCGGGAGGAACACCAGUGGCGAAGGCGGCGAUCUGGGAAGAUACUGACGCUGAGGUGCGAAAGCGUGGGAGCAAACAGG